GACGAACGCUGGCGGCGCGCCUAACACAUGCAAGUCGAACGGAGUCAGGAGGAGCUUGCUUUUCUUGACUUAGUGGCGAAAGGGUGAGUAACGCGUGAGUAACCUGCCCUGGAGUGGGGGACAACAGUUGGAAACGACUGCUAAUACCGCAUAAGCCCACGGAUCUGCAUGGAUCUGCGGGAAAAGGAUUUAUUCGCUCUAGGAUGGACUCGCGUCCAAUUAGCUAGUUGGUGAGGUAACGGCCCACCAAGGCGACGAUUGGUGGCCGGACUGAGAGGUUGAACGGCCACAUUGGGACUGAGACACGGCCCAGACUCCUACGGGAGGCAGCAGUGGGGGAUAUUGCACAAUGGGGGAAACCCUGAUGCAGCGACGCCGCGUGGAGGAAGAAGGUUUUCGGAUUGUAAACUCCUGUCGUUAGGGACGAUAAUGACGGUACCUAACAAGAAAGCACCAGCUAACUACGUG
rnacentral:rRNA from 1 species